rnacentral:rRNA from 1 species
UACAGAGGGUGCGAGCGUUAAUCGGAAUUACUGGGCGUAAAGCGUGCGUAGACGGUUAUUUAAGUCGGGUGUGAAAGCCCCGGGCUCAACCUGGGAAUUGCAUUCGAGACUGAAUAGCUAGGGUACGGUAGAGGGAAGCGGAAUUUCCGGUGUAGCGGUGAAAUGCGCAGAUAUCUGGAGGAACACCGGUGGCGAAAGCGGCUCACUGGAUCGAUACUGACGCUGAGGUGCGAAAGCUAGGGUAGCAAACGGG